GGGCUCGCAGGUAACCAGGACGCACGUCUGGAGUCACCCGCCUCUCCCGCACGGUGCUCAGGAUGGAGGUCUACGGGAAGCUGCUCAGACUUUUGGGAAGCAGUGGAUGGAGUAAGCCAGCGCAUGGGGUAAAGGCUGCCAGCCCCUUGGUGAGCUCCGUCUGGGCGGAGGAGCCCGAGAAGUUGCAUUUCACACGGGACAAUACCUUACAGCAGAGACAUUUUAGACGACAUAACCUACCAGCCGGGAUGAGGAUGGAAAAAGCCACAGGGAGAAAAACGGGGCUUGCGACCGAGUAGCUGCUCAGUGAAUAUUUAUGAAAUGAAGGACUACAUGAAAGAACAGUGCUGAGAGAGCCACCCAGAACCGAAUAUAAGGAGAGGAUUUUGC